UGCAAGUCGAGCGGUAACAGGCAUUUUGAUUCAGCUUGCUGAAUCUCGCGCUGACGAGCGGCGGACGGGUGAGUAACGCGUAGGAAUCUACCUAGUAGAAGGGGAUAGCCCGGGGAAACUCGGAUUAAUACCGUAUACGUCCUUAGGGAGAAAGAGGGCUUAGCUUUGAUGCUCUCGCUAUUAGAUGAGCCUGCGUAAGAUUAGCUUGUUGGUGAGGUAAAGGCUCACCAAGGCUACGAUCUUUAGCUGGUCUGAGAGGACGAUCAGCCACAUUGGGACUGAGACACGGCCCAGACUCCUACGGGAGGCAGCAGUGGGGAAUAUUGGACAAUGGGCGCAAGCCUGAUCCAGCCAUACCGCGUGUGUGAAGAAGGCCUUCGGGUUGUAAAGCACUUUAAGUAAGGAAGAAAAGUAUAUUGUUAAUACCAAUGUACCGUGACAUUACUUACAGAAUAAGGACCGGCUAAUUCCGUGCCAGCAGCCGCGGUAAUACGGAAGGUCCAAGCGUUAAUCGGAAUUACUGGGCGUAAAGCGCGCGUAGGUGGUUUAUUAAGUUGGGUGUGAAAGCCCCGGGCUCAACCUGGGAACUGCAUCCAAAACUGAUUCACUAGAGUACGAAAGAGGGAGGUAGAAUUCACAGUGUAGCGGUGGAAUGCGUAGAUAUUGUGAAGAAUACCAAUGGCGAAGGCAGCCUCCUGGUUCUGUACUGACACUGAGGUGCGAAAGCGUGGGUAGCGAACAGGAUUAGAUACCCUGGUAGUCCACGCCGUAAACGAUGACAACCAGCUGUUGGGAAGCAAUGCUUUUCAG
rnacentral:rRNA from 1 species